rnacentral:rRNA from 1 species
CACGUAGGGGGCGAGCGUUGUCCGGAAUCAUUGGGCGUAAAGAGCUCGUAGGCGGCUCAGUAAGUCGGGUGUGAAACCCCCAGGCUCAACCUGGGGACGCCACCCGAUACUGCUGUGGCUAGAGUCCAGUAGGGGAGUGUGGAAUUCCCGGUGUAGCGGUGAAAUGCGUAGAUAUCUGGAGGAACACCGGUGGCGAAGGCGGCAUCCUGGACCGGUAUUGACGCUGAGGCGCGAAAGCUAGGGGAGCAAACGGG